rnacentral:rRNA from 1 species
AUUGAGACUUCGGUGGAUUUGAUCUAUUUCUAGUGGCGGACGGGUGAGUAACGCGUGGGUAACCUGCCUUAUACAGGGGGAUAACAGUCAGAACAUGGGCUGGGCUAAUACCGACAUAAGCGCACAGAAGCUGCAUGGCUCAGUGUGAAAAACUCCGGUGGUAUAAGAUGGACCCGCGUUGGAUUAGCUUGUUGGUGGGGUAACGGCCCACCAAGGCGACGAUCCAUAGCCGGCCUGAGAGGGUGAACGGCCACAUUGGGACUGAGACACGGCCCAGACUCCUACGGGAGGCAGCAGUGGGGAAUAUUGCACAAUGGGGGAAACCCUGAUGCAGCGACGCCGCGUGAAGGAAGAAGUAUCUCGGUAUGUAAACUUCUAUCAGCAGGGAAGAUAGUGACGGUACCUGACUAAGAAGCCCCGGCUAACUACGUGCCAGCAGCCGCGGUAAUACGUAGGGGGCAAGCGUUAUCCGGAUUUACUGGGUGUAAAGGGAGCGUAGACGGUGUGGCAAGUCUGAUGUGAAAGGCAUGGGCUCAACCUGUGCACUGCAUUGGAAACUGUCAUACUUGAGUGCCGGAGGGGUAAGCGGAAUUCCUAGUGUAGCGGUGAAAUGCGUAGAUAUUAGGAGGAACACCAG